rnacentral:rRNA from 1 species
AACGAACGCUGGCGGCAGGCUUAACACAUGCAAGUCGAACGCCCCGCAAGGGGAGUGGCAGACGGGUGAGUAACGCGUGGGAAUCUACCCAUCUCUGCGGAAUAGCUCUGGGAAACUGGAAUUAAUACCGCAUACGCCCUACGGGGGAAAGAUUUAUCGGGGAUGGAUGAGCCCGCGUUGGAUUAGCUAGUUGGUGGGGUAAAGGCCUACCAAGGCGACGAUCCAUAGCUGGUCUGAGAGGAUGAUCAGCCACAUUGGGACUGAGACACGGCCCAAACCCCCACGGGAGGCAGCAGGGGGGAAUAUUGGAAAAUGGGCGCAAGCUUGAACCAGCCAUGCCGCGUGAGUGAUGAAGGCCUUAGGGUUGUAAAGCUCUUUCACCGAUGAAGAUAAUGACGGUAGUCGGAGAAGAAGCCCCGGCUAACUUCGUGCCAGCCGCCGCCGUAA